UACGUAGGGGGCAAGCGUUGUCCGGAAUCAUUGGGCGUAAAGAGCGUGUAGGCGGCUGACCAAGUCCUGCGUGAAAUCUUGCGGCUCAACCGCAAGCGGUCGUGGGAAACUGGUCGGCUAGAGUGCGGGAGAGGAGAGUGGAAUUCCUGGUGUAGCGGUGAAAUGCGCAGAUAUCAGGAAGAACACCCGUGGCGAAGGCGGCUCUCUGGAACGCAACUGACGCUGAGACGCGAAAGCGUGGGGAGCAAACAGG
rnacentral:rRNA from 1 species